UAGAUGCGAGAGUAGAGCAUAUCAAUAAGCGGAGGAAAAGAAACUAACAAGGAUUCCCUUAGUAACGGCGAGUGAAGCGGGAAGAGCUCAAAUUUGAAAUCUUCAAGGUUCUACCUUGACGAAUUGUAGUUUAAAGAAGUGUUUUCUGUUAGAUGAGUAGCAAAAGUUCCUUGGAAUAGGGACAUCAUAGAGGGUGAGAAUCCCGUAUUUGGUUAUUCAUUCUAGCUUUGUGAUACACUUUCAAAGAGUCGGAUUGUUUGGGAAUGCAGUCCAAGAUGGGUGGUAAAUUUCAUCUAAAGCUAAAUAUUGGCGAGAGACCGAUAGCGAACAAGUACCGUGAGGGAAAGAUGAAAAGAACUUUGAAAAGAGAGUUAAACAGUACGUGAAAUUGUCAAAAGGGAAGCGUUUGACACCAGUGUUGUUUUUCCGAAAAUCAAUUACGAAUGGCUUGAUUUUGUGUUGUAUUGACCUUAUCAGCUUUCUGCACUUUUUUCGAGUCUUUCUUAAUGCACUUUUCGGUUAACAAGUCAACAUCAAUUUCUUUUGUUGUAAAAGAGUAUUCGGAAGGUGGCUUUCUUUUCGGAGAAAGUGUUUAUAGCCCUAUACUUCUACAAUCGGAGAGAUUGAGGUCUGCAGCGUAGAUCCUUCGGGGUUAGAUACAUUUGUGCUAAGUUGUAGCUUUUCAUAGACAACUUGUUGACUAUGUUUAGUCAUGCGGCUUACUCGCUUAUGCUAUUUUACCUACGCUUAGGAUGUUGAGCGCAUGUCUCUCCU
rnacentral:rRNA from 1 species